AAAUUUAUAAAUUGUUAUAUAAUUGUUAGUUAAUUAAGAUGAAAUUAAAAUAUUUUUUUAUAGUUUUUUUGUUGGAGUAAAGUGUAUUGAAUAGAUUGUUUUUAUAAGUACUGUGAAGGAAGAGUGAAAUAAAUAGGAAAAGAGAUUGUGAGAUAAGAAACAAAAUUUUGUGUACCUUUUGCAUUAUGGUUAAUCAAAUUGUAGCUUUAGAGGUAAAGGGUAACGAAACAAGACGAGUUAUUGUAGACUAUAGGUUAGCUGGUUAUUCCUAGCUGUUGAAAAAGCAUGGAUGGAGUUUACAAUAGGGACUAAAGAUUUAUCGAGUUUUGUGAUAGCUUCUUCUUGGAGAAUUGGAUUUAAGUCCAGGCUUGGAUAUUGUAGCUUAAAAUUUACUGGUUGAGCAGUAGGUUUGUGGAAUAAAAAAGUUUUUAGGUUAAGAAAGGCCAUAAAAAAGCUAGGAUAGGUGUAAUAGUAGGCUAUUAAAGUAGCUAUCUUGAGGAAAGUUAUUUAACUCAACAGACUAUAAGUGCGGAGUAAUAAUUGUAGGUUGUUUGCUGUUCUUACUGUUUUUAUCUAAGAAUUUUUUGUUGAAAAUAAAUGAUGAUUAAAUGAGUAAAUUUGUUCUUGAAUUAAGAAAUAAUCUUUGUGAGUGACGUUAAGGAACAAGAAAUUUCUGAGAGGUAUUCUUAUUUUAGAAGGACUAAGUAAUUAAAAAAGAAAAUAAGAGGAACUCGGCAAAAAGUUUUACGCCUGUUUACCUAAAACAUGGCCUUUGGAAGAAGAUCAUAAGGUCCGUCCUGCCCGGUGAUGUAAUAUUAAACGGCUGCAGUACUCUGACUGUGCAAAGGUAGCAUGAUCAAUUGUCUGGUAAUUCCAGUCUGGUAUGAAUGGUUAGACGAUAAAGCAACUGUCUUUUGUUUUUAAAAUUUGAAAUUGAUUUUUAGGUGCAGAAGCCUAUAUUUAGAAGUGGGACGAGAAGACCCUAUAGAGCUUUAAUCUUUAGCUAUAAAAUUAUUAUAGUUAUGAUUUUGGUUGGGGCAACUGUUUAUCAAAUUAGACAUAAGCUGAUUAUUUAUAAGUUAAAUUUACAUUGACCCUUAACUUUAGGGGAAUAAGAAAAAGUUACCUUAGGGAUAACAGCGUAAUUCUUCUUGAGAGUUCUUAUUAACAGAAGAGUUUGCGACCUCGAUGUUGGAUCAAGUUUACCUGGAGGUGUAGCCGUUUCCAAGGGUUGGUUUGUUCAACCAUAAAAAACUUACGUGAUCUGAGUUCAGUCCGUCGUAAGACAGGACAGUUUUUAUCUACUAUUUAUCUUUUUCUUGUACGAAAGGACUUUUAAAGACAAAGUUAACUUUAUAGGGUUCUUUGAAUAAAAACUAGAUUACGUAGAACGGU
rnacentral:rRNA from 1 species